rnacentral:rRNA from 1 species
UGGGGAAUAUUGGACAAUGGGCGAAAGCCUGAUCCAGCCAUGCCGCGUGUGUGAAGAAGGUCUUCGGAUUGUAAAGCACUUUAAGUUGGGAGGAAGGGCAGUAAGCGAAUACCUUGCUGUUUUGACGUUACCGACAGAAUAAGCACCGGCUAACUCUGUGCCAGCAGCCGCGGUAAUACAGAGGGUGCAAGCGUUAAUCGGAAUUACUGGGCGUAAAGCGCGCGUAGGUGGUUCGUUAAGUUGAAUGUGAAAGCCCCGGGCUCAACCUGGGAACUGCAUCCAAAACUGGCGAGCUAGAGUAGGGCAGAGGGUGGUGGAAUUUCCUGUGUAGCGGUGAAAUGCGUAGAUAUAGGAAGGAACACCAGUGGCGAAGGCGACCACCUGGGCUCAUACUGACACUGUGGUGCGAAAGCGUGGGGAGCAAACAGG